GUCAGAGUGGUGCAUGAUUUCUCUUCAUAGACCAGCUGUGUAAAUGGGCUCAAAACCCCCAUAAUACUUCAUUCAGCAAGCUUAAAUGGGGACAAUUUAUCUUAUGUCCCCGUAACGCUGUGUGCAGUCAGGUGAAAACGUCCCGUAACGCUGUGUGCAGUCAGGUGAAAACGUCCCGUAACGCUGUGUGCAGUCAGGUGAAACCAUCCCGUAACACUGUGUGCAGUCAGGUGAAACGUCCCGUAACGCUGUGUGCAGUCAGGUGAAACCAUCCCGUAACACUGUGUGCAGUCAGGUGAAACGUCCCGUAACGUUGUGUGCAGUCAGAUGAAACGUCCCGUAACACUGUGUGCAGUCAGGUGAAACGUCCCGUAACGCUGUGUGCAGUCAGAUGAAACGUCCCGUAACGCUGUGUGCAGUCAGAUGAAACGUCCCGUAACACUGUGUGCAGUCAGGUGAAACGUCCCGUAACGCUGUGUGCAGUCAGAUGAAACGUCCCGUAACGCUGUGUGCAGUCAGAUGAAACGUCCCGUAACGCUGUGUGCAGUCAGGUGAAACCGUCCCCGUAACGCUGUGUGCAGUCAGGUGAAACGUCCCGUAACGCUGUGUGCAGUCAGAUGAAACGUCCCGUAACGCUGUGUGCAGUCAGAUGAAACGUCCCGUAACGCUGUGUGCAGUCAGAUGAAACGUCCCGUAACGCUGUGUGCAGUCAGAUGAAACGUCCCGUAACGCUGUAUGCAGUCAGGUGAAACGUCCCGUAACGCUGUAUGCAGUCAGGUGAAACCAUCCCGUAACACUGUGUGCAGUCAGGUGAAACGUCCCGUAACGCUGUGUGCAGUCAGGUGAAACCGUCCCGUAACGCUGUGUGCAGUCAGGUGAAACGUCCCGUAACGCUGUGUGCAGUCAGAUGAAACCGUCCCCGUAACGCUGUGUGCAGUCAGGUGAAACCGUCCCUGUAACGCUGUGUGCAGUCAGAUGAAACGUCCCGUAACGCUGUAUGCAGUCAGAUGAAACGUCCCGUAACGCUGUAUGCAGUCAGGUGAAACUGUCCCGUAACACUGU